UACGUAGGGGGCGAGCGUUGUCCGGAAUUAUUGGGCGUAAAGAGCUCGUAGGCGGUGUGUCACGUCGAUCGUGAAAACUUUCAGCUUAACUGGGAGCUUGCGGUCGAUACGGGCAUCACUGGAGUUCGGCAGGGGAGACUGGAAUUCAAGGUGUAGCGGUGAAAUGCGCAGAUAUCUUGAGGAACACCGGUGGCGAAGGCGGGUCUCUGGGCCGAUACUGACGCUGAGGAGCGAAAGCGUGGGGAGCGAACAGG
rnacentral:rRNA from 1 species